AUAUAAAACCAAAAAAGGAAAAACUCCCGUUUAGGCGCCUCUCGUCUUCUACAGUAUUAACAUCUUCAAGAUGAGCGACGAACAGUCCCUGACGGCCUAACAUCAUCCUCUUCGUCACUGCCGUCACGAUCCUCAUCAUCGCGUCGGCUUUUGUACGGCAGCAGCUGAGUAACCGAGUAUGGCGACUCAAUCUAUGGCUCCUCCCGUGCAGGCGGACAACAAUCCCCAAAACCCAGAUACUAAUAUCUUUCAUGAAGUAAGGGCAUGUCAAAAUGCUAAAGCAAUAUGGGAGGAACUUGCAAAGAGAUAUGGAGCAUCUAAGCAUGAAAAGUCUAUAGCUCUAUGUGACUCCAGCUCAAAAGGCCAUGAAGGAGAAAAGUAGUGCUUUAUUGCUUUAACCGACGAUGAGGGGGGAGCCUAUUUGGCGUUGCCCACUUUUGCAAGUUGUUUUGUCAUCAUCAAAAAGGUGGAGAAUCUUAACUCUAUAAGUCUGAUCCCGUUUUGAUUAAGACAAAACCAAUGUUUCUCACUAGUGCAUUGAGUUUCUUGAACAGGUUUAUCUUUAGCAUGUAUUGUUGGUAGGAACUUAAGUAAGUCAUGCAGACUAUGAAGAUCAAGCUUCAUUUAUGGUAUCUAAAGAAUCGAAAGAAUGAAGAACUAUUUUUCUA